rnacentral:rRNA from 1 species
GACGAACGCUGGCGGCAUGCCUAAUACAUGCAAGUCGAGCGAACAUUUAUAGAAGUUUGCUUCUUUACAUGUUAGCGGCGGAUGGGUGAGUAACACGUGGGCAACCUGCCCUGCAGAUGGGGAUAACUCCGGGAAACCGGGUCUACUCCCGUAUAAUCAUUUUGCCCGCAUGGCCAAACUCUAAAAGACGUCUUCGGCUGUCACUGCAGGAUGCGCCCGCGGCGCAUUAGCUAGUUGGUGUGAUAACGGCCUACCAAGGCAACGAUGCGUAGCCGACCUGAGAGGGUGAUCGGCCACACUGGGACUGAGACACGGCCCAGACUCCUACGGGAGGCAGCAGUAGGGAAUCUUCCGCAAUGGACGGAAGUCUGAUGGAGCAAUGCCGCGUGAGCGAAGAAGGUGUUCGGAUCGUAAAGCUCUGUUGUGAGGGAAGAACAAAUACGGGAGUAACUGCCCGUGCCUUGACGGUACCUCAUUAGAAAGCCACGGCUAACUACGUG